rnacentral:rRNA from 1 species
CGCGUAGGUGGCCUUGUAAGCGGGCGGUGAAAGUCCGGGGCUCAACCCCGGAUCGGCCGUGCGGACUGCGAGGCUCGAGCACUGUAGAGGCCGGUGGAAUUCCGGGUGUAGCGGUGGAAUGCGUAGAGAUCCGGAGGAACACCAGUGGCGAAGGCGGCCGGCUGGGCAGUGGCUGACACUGAGGCGCGACAGCGUGGGGAGCAAACAGGAUUAGAUACCCUGGUAGUCCACGCCGUAAACGAUGGGCACUAGAUGCUUCGGGGAGCGACCCUCGGAGUGUCGGCGCUAACGCAUUAAGUGCCCCGCCUGGGGAGUACGGCCGCAAGGCUGAA